AUGGCGAUCCGCCGUGGGUCCUCCUGCGCCGUCCUCGCCCUGCUCGCGCUCGCCUCCGUCGCCGCCGUCAGCGCCGACGUCUUCUUCCAGGAGAAGUUCGAAGAUGGUUGGGAAAGCCGGUGGGUCAAGUCUGAGUGGAAGAAGGAUGAGAACAUGGCUGGUGAAUGGAACCACACAUCUGGAAAAUGGCACGGAGAUGCCGAGGACAAAGGUAUCCAAACCUCAGAGGACUACAGGUUCUACGCCAUCUCGGCGGAGUACCCUGAGUUCAGCAACAAGGACAAGACACUCGUGCUGCAGUUCACGGUGAAGCAUGAGCAGAAGCUUGACUGCGGUGGUGGUUACGUCAAGUUGCUUGGAGGUGAUGUUGACCAGAAGAAAUUCGGUGGUGACACACCCUACAGCAUUAUGUUUGGACCAGAUAUCUGUGGGUACAGCACCAAGAAGGUUCACACUAUCCUUACCAAGGAUGGCAAGAACCAUUUGAUCAAGAAGGACGUGCCUUGCGAGACUGAUCAGCUGUCGCAUGUGUACACUUUGAUCAUCCGCCCUGAUGCCACAUACAGCAUUCUCAUUGACAACGAAGAGAAGCAAACUGGAAGCAUCUACGAGCACUGGGAUAUUCUUCCUCCCAAGGAAAUCAAGGACCCAGAAGCUAAGAAGCCAGAGGACUGGGAUGACAAGGAGUACAUUCCCGAUCCUGAGGACGUCAAGCCAGAGGGCUACGAUGACAUUCCCAAGGAAGUCACCGAUCCUGAUGCUAAGAAGCCUGAGGAUUGGGAUGAUGAGGAAGAUGGUGAAUGGACUGCCCCAACCAUCCCCAACCCAGAGUACAAGGGCCCAUGGAAGCAAAAGAAAAUCAAGAACCCUAACUACCAGGGCAAAUGGAAGGCACCUAUGAUUGCCAACCCAGACUUCAAGGAUGAUCCUUACAUCUAUGCUUUCGACAGCCUGAAGUACAUCGGAAUUGAGCUGUGGCAGGUUAAGUCAGGAACUUUGUUUGACAACAUUCUCAUCACUGACGAUGCUGCUUUGGCUAAGACAUUUGCUGAAGAGACCUGGGCCAAGCAUAAGGAAGCUGAGAAGGCUGCUUUCGACGCUGCUGAAAAGAAGAAGGAAGAGGAGGAUGCUUCCAAGGCUGGUGAGGACGAUGAUGACUUGGAUGAUGAGGAAGCCGAUGACGAGGACAAGGAUGACAAGGCUGGGUCUGAUGCGGAGUCUGAUGACGAGAAGCACGAUGAGCUCUAG
rnacentral:rRNA from 1 species